CCUUUUAUAAUACUUAUUUUUUUUAUGUGCUUGAUCAUUACAGGUAAUUUAAAAUAAAUACUUUUGCAAGUGAACCAAUAGAAAUAUUUCACUGUCAUUGGGCAGAAAGCUAAAAACCUAAUUACGUUGGAAGUAGGAAGAGGAAGUAAGUAUGGUUGGAAGAGGUGGAGUCUGGUGCUGCCAGAGCAGAAAGCACAAAGAAGAACGUGCUUUUAGGUGGGUGCCCUAAGAGACAUGAUAAGUG
rnacentral:lncRNA from 1 species